rnacentral:snoRNA from 1 species
CCGACGUGAUUUAUGAGAUCAUUGCUAAAAUAUCUUGUAAGUGGCAAACGGGAGCUGACUUUACUGUACUCUUUGAGUACAGUUGUUUCGUGCAGUGAAAUCCCAUUCCACCAUGUCGGAAAUAAAUCUUGUCCCCUGGCUGAUAAAGUCAGGUGAGGACUUGAACAAAGUAUAUUCCAUAACUUCUCAUAGUCUCUUUGACUAUUACUGGGGAGUUAGACCAUACUCGGUACAGUC